rnacentral:rRNA from 1 species
UUGCAGGCUGCAACUCGCCUGUAUGAAGUCGGAAUUGCUAGUAAUCGUGGAUCAGCAUGCCACGGUGAAUACGUUCCCGGGCCUUGUACACACCGCCCGUCACACCAUGAGAGCCGGGAACACCCGAAGUCCGUAGUCCAACCUAUAUGGAGGACGCGGCCGAAGGUGGGUUUGGUAAUUGGGGUGAAGUCGUAACAAGGUAAC